CGGCGGAAGAGGCUGCGCAGUAAUGGCCGCUGCUCCGCCUCUCGCACCCCGACCGUGACCAGCUCCGGGCCGUCGCCCAGGGCAGGGGCUGCGGUGGCUCGGACAGAGCCGAGCCCGUCACAGUCUCCUCGCCUGCGACAGCAGCCCCGGUGGGGGCGGCGGGAAGGGCUGCGCUGUCCCUGUCGCUUGGGGCGGACAGCCGCGGCCGCGCCGGCCCAAGGGCGUCCACCACCGUCCCGGCCCCUGACCCCGCCGCCGCCCCUCAGGCCCGGCGCUGAGGGCCCACCAGGAGCGGGUCGCCACUGGAGGUGCAGAAGACUCUGAAAGAACGCCGGUCCCCCAGAGAUUCGGGGCUGAGGAAGUAAGACGCAUGUAGGACCAGCAGGUGGUGCUGCUCAUAAACCCAGCCUGGAGACCCAGAAGAAGCCCUUGGGCGCGCCUAGCUGCAUUUUGGGGUGAAGAGCCCUUGGGAAAGUACUGGUUAUUCUCUUUCACAACAAAAAAACCUACCUCUAGGACGUUCCAGUUUAUCAUCCCUCUCUCCUACACAACCCAUGAACAGACAAUAGGAAAAAUUUGGUAUAUACUUGAAGAUAGAUACUAAUAUUAACUAACAAUGUGCAAGGCGUUGUUCGAAGUGCUUACACGUUUUAGCUCACAAUAAACUAUGUGGUGGGUACACUUGUUAGUCCCAGUUUACAGAAACAGGCAUAGCUGGGAUUUGAAUGCAGUCAGGGGCUGUAAGAGUUCAUCUAGUCCACUUCUUCAUUUUAUCAGUUAAGAAAGAGAUAUAACAAGGUUAAAGGACUUGCUCAAAGACUUUCCUGCUCGAGAUACAGCCGGGAUCACAAUACAGUAGUGUAUCAGUUUGGAUCCUGUUUGGAAAACAGAAACCACCUUAAGUAUUUCAAACAAAGGGAAUUCAAUGAAGUGAAUUGGUUGCCAACGUAUUGUAAAACUGGAGGAGCCAAAGAAGGAAGAUAAGAAUAACCUGAAAUCAGUAAAUGCGGAAAGUCACCAGCUGUGCUAAGGUUGGAGGAGCAGACGUUUACGGGUGUCCCAGGAGCCUAGUCACAUUCUCCCCAAGGAUGCUGGAGCAUUUCUGUUUGAACUGCUGCAACAGGAAGCCAGGAGCCUGUAUGCUUACUGAGGCUGCCGGAAUCCGGGAACUCAUGGCCACCAGCAGUCAUCUACCUCUGCCACUGCCAGAGCCAGGAACAAGAAAAGAAUCACCUUCUCCCUCCCACCUUCGAUUUACUUAUGAGUGUCUUCCAUUGGUAGAAACACAAGAAACAAAUGGUCAGUGGAUUCUGGAAAAUGACCUUUUCCGGCUCCCUUAGAUAUAAAGCAGAAUAUAGAAGUGCCAUUGUGAGGCUAAGCAUCAACAGACAAGGACGUCACUGCUGCUCUGACCAGAAUUGAGUUUCUUCAUUUGUUCUUCCUCCUUGUCUCUGAUUUCUAUGGAGGGUCCAUGAGAUUCUGGGAAACACUACUCCAUUCUUGUAAAUGGAGCAUGUGAACUGGACUAAGUCAAUGAGUACAUACCAACCCCAGGGUAGUGACUGUAAGAUGUGGACAUUUGACCUAAGACAGUGGUAUCAUGUAAAAUUCUGGAACUUUUGCUGAGAGUUUUGGGAUACGGACCCUCUCCUGGUUUGGGUGGCAUCAAGUGCGGGUGUCGCACCUUGAGCUGCCUCAUUCGUAUUGCUACCAUGAGGAAACCAAACCUGCAGAUAAAACUGAUAGAUCAUGGAGAGAAUGCCAGAGGUCUGUUGAAGCACACUUAUAGGCUGCCUUUUCUCUGAACUUCUCAAUUCAAGAAGUAUAGCCCCUAUAAUGUUUAAGUGAGUUUGAGUUAGCUUUUUCUGUAGUAUUUGCAACAAGAAACAUCCUGAUACAUGAUACAGUUGCUACAUUUGGCAACAAACAGUCUUAUACUCUAGCUGCGUACUUUUGGAUUUUUAGCUCUUACACUUUCUUGGUCCUACUAAACUGUUAGAAAUAUAAAGCAAAAUGUGGGAAAAAACCCUGUUUUGCACAGCUGGUACAUCUCUCAACUUUGAUAGAGCACAUAGAUUUUUAAAAGGUAAUAACAAGGAAAAAUUGCAAAUUUUAAGGGUGAAUCACUGUAUACACAAUAAACUUUAUAUUCACAAGAGAAGAAUAUACCUUUUAUAUUCAGAUGCCCAUGCAGUAAUUACCAAACAGAGAAAGGGGAAAAAAGAAACUCAUAUACUUAGUCUACAAAGAAUAUUUCAAUAAAUUUCUCAAAUCAAGUUCAUCAGGUCAGAUUUUCUGAUAACAAUGUAAUUAAACUGGAUGUUAAUAACAAAGUAUUAAAUGGGGAAAAAAAUCUCUGUCAUUUCAAAGUUCAAAGUAAAGUCUCUAAAUCUUGGGCCAACGAUAAAAUCAAUAUUGUAAUUUGAGACAAUCUUAAAACAAGAAUAACAAGAACACAAUGUAUUAGCAUUUUUUGAACGUGGGCAAAAGUUAGCUCAGAGAAAAUUUCAUAGUCUUAUAGUUUUUAUAACUAAAAAUAGAGAACAAAAAGAAGAAUUUUAGAAAAGGAUACAAGAAGAGAGGAAUAAAAUCCUAAAUAUAAAAAUCAACGUAGAAUUGAUAAUCUAGAAGUUUUGUAUGAUUUAAAAAUAAAUGCACAAUAUGAGAUAAAUCUUGGGCAACUUUUAUUAAGCAAAGAUGUAAAAUACAAGUGAGCAUUAUUAAGAAUGAGAAGGAAUAACAGCCAUAGAUAUGGAAGAAGUUAACAUUACCAGCUAACGCUGUACUAAUAACUUUGAAAAUUCCAGUGACAUGAGUAACUUGGAACAUACCAAUUUUCUUUGUACACAAAUAUUUCCUACAUUUUGAACUAACUUUGCCUUCGAUGUGGAAUGUUGCUAUGGUCUGAAUGUUUAUGUCCCCACAAAGUUCAUGCUAAAUUCUAAAUUCCCAAAGGUGAUGAUAUUAGUAGGUGGGGCCAAUGGGAGGAGAUUUGGUCAUGAGGGUGGAGCCAUCAUGAAUGGGAUUAGUGCCUUUAUAGAAGAUAUCCCAUAGAGCUCCCUAGCCCUUCCACCUCAUGAGGAUACAAGGCGAGGUCUGCAACCUGAAGAGAGCUCUCACUUGACCAGCUGGCACUUUGAUCCUGGACUUACGACCUCCAGAACUAUGAGCAAUACAUUUCUACUGUUUGUAAGGUGCCCAGUCUGUGGUAUUUUGUUAUAGCAGCCCAAUGGACUGAGACAAAUCUCCUUCCCUGGAUCUUCCAUCAUUCCUUCUUGUCAAUGAAGUCUUGGCGUAAGUGUUGCUUCCUCAGAGAGGUUUUUCUCUUUUUUUUUUGGACUACCCAUAAUUCUCCAGCAUCCCUCAGCCUGUCACUCCCUAUCUGUAUCACACUCUUAAUUUCCCCAGAGUGUUUUUCAUUACUUGAUAUUUUUAAAAUUUAAUUCUUGGUUGGUUAUCUGUCUUUGCUUCUGAGAAUGUAAAUUCCUUGAGAAUAGGGGCUUUGUGAGUCUUCACUGCCCAGUGCUCAUAGAACAGAGGCACUUAGUUGGUAUUAAUAAAAGUCUAUGUAAACAAGUAAAAUAAUUUUUUAGGAAAAUAAAAACGACUAGAAUCACAAAACUUAUAUCCACUAAUCAUGGAAUUACUUCAAAAAAUAGUUCCAAGGUAUAACAGUUUUGCUGUUGAGCCCUUCAAGCUUUCAAUAAAUAAAAACACUCUAUGUUAUAUAAAAUGUUUGAUACUCCAGAAGAUGAUGACCAGUUGUUCAAUUAUACAUUUAGAAAACCUGAAAGAAUAAAUUGUAAAAUUCUUAGAACUAGAAAAGACUGAAGUCAAAUAUUUAGAUACAAAAUAAAUGUACAAAAAUU